CGCAACGAAGAAGAAGAAACAGUAUCGUUAGGUCGAGGACUAUCAAAUGAACACGUAAAAGAGUUUGCAUAAAUUUCUGUUUACCUUCCUCGAUAAGGAACGAGUAGAAACUUAUAUUACGUGCAAUUUUAAUCAGUUUGUAUGCACAAAUUACGAAAUUCGAAUUAUAUUGAAUUUACCGAUUUUUUUGAAUCAUUAAGAUUAACCAAAUUCUGGAGUAAUUGGAUCAUUUCAAUAGGAUUUAAAUUUUCAUUGAAUGAAAAUUUAUGAUCAAAUUCAAUUUUUUUUUGUCUGAAAAAAAAGGGAAUCAAGGAUGAAAACAAGAUCGAAAUAAUUAAUCAUAGUUCGUACACAAUACGAGUAUGUUUUAUCUCGAAAUCAAUUACGCGAUAGUGUUAUUAUGUUACCAGUAUGUGCAUCGAAAAGGAAUUCUAUACGACUUAUCUGCUUUCAAAUAGUGCUGGUAUUUGUUACAGAUCUUUGUAUCGAUAUCAUCAAACGUUUUAAUAGAAAUAAAUUACGAAUGAAAAAAAUUAAAAAAUUUCUUGCAAACUAUGAGACAGUUUAUGAUAAAUUAUAUUUGUUGAAUACGUGUUGAAUACAUUCGCCGCACAUGCCACAUAUGUACAGACAUCUAUAGGAUGAUAAAAAUAGAAAUGCGACAAAGAUCCUCCAUUUGCAGCAUACAGUCAAUUCAUUUUGAAUUUUUCUGAUUUUUAAACCGAUAUUACAAGCUUCGAACUCUUCGGAGGAACUAUACGUGCAUGUGCGUUAAAGAAGAAUGGAAAAUCAUGUGAUUGCAUACCACGAAUUUUAAACUAUUUUUACAAUAUUUUUUAUUAUAUUGUCUCUUUUGUACCUUAAAUAAAUAAAGUGUAAAAUCUAUUAUA